rnacentral:rRNA from 1 species
GACGAACGCUGGCGGCGUGCCUAAUACAUGCAAGUUGAGCGCUGAAGGUUGGUACUUGUACCAACUGGAUGAGCAGCGAACGGGUGAGUAACGCGUGGGGAAUCUGCCUUUGAGCGGGGGACAACAUUUGGAAACGAAUGCUAAUACCGCAUAAAAACUUUAAACACAAGUUUUAAGUUUGAAAGAUGCAAUUGCAUCACUCAAAGAUGAUCCCGCGUUGUAUUAGCUAGUUGGUGAGGUAAAGGCUCACCAAGGCGAUGAUACAUAGCCGACCUGAGAGGGUGAUCGGCCACAUUGGGACUGAGACACGGCCCAAACUCCUACGGGAGGCAGCAGUAGGGAAUCUUCGGCAAUGGAAGAAAGUCUGACCGAGCAACGCCGCGUGAGUGAAGAAGGUUUUCGGAUAGUAAAACUCUGUUGGUAGAGAAGAACGUUGGUGAGAGUGGAAAGCUCAUCAAGUGACGGUAACUAACCAGAAAGGGACGGCUAACUACGUG